AACGAACGCUGGCGGCAUGCCUAACACAUGCAAGUCGAACGAAGCCUUCGGGCUUAGUGGCGCACGGGUGCGUAACGCGUGGGAAUCUGCCCUUGGGUUCGGAAUAACAGUUAGAAAUGACUGCUAAUACCGGAUGAUGUCUUCGGACCAAAGAUUUAUCGCCCAAGGAUGAGCCCGCGUAGGAUUAGGUAGUUGGUGGGGUAAUGGCCCACCAAGCCGACGAUCCUUAGCUGGUCUGAGAGGAUGAUCAGCCACACUGGGACUGAGACACGGCCCAGACUCCUACGGGAGGCAGCAGUGGGGAAUAUUGGACAAUGGGCGAAAGCCUGAUCCAGCAAUGCCGCGUGAGUGAUGAAGGCCUUAGGGUUGUAAAGCUCUUUUACCAGGGAUGAUAAUGACAGUACCUGGAGAAUAAGCUCCGGCUAACUCCGUGCCAGCAGCCGCCGCCGUAA
rnacentral:rRNA from 1 species